UUGAAACCGGAAACCACGAAAAGACGUUUCUAUAGAAACGAAUACAACUCUGCAUAGAUUAGCUGUUUAGCAGUCGUCUGCUUUCUUUACUCUUCACCGUUUUGUUGUAGUUAACUCCGUAUUGUUGGCGUGUAAUGGACGGCACAGAUACAUACAUCAUACGACCUAAUCAUCAGCACAAGUUCAAGCCAGCCAUUGUGAAGGAGUGUAUUCGUGAAAUUGUGAGGGAGCGACUGUCUGGGAUGCGGUACGACCCAGAGGAAGUACCAGAGCUGUCCAGUUCACUUGCAGACUGCAUUAAGGACAAGCUGAAGACAGAUGCAGGGUUUGACAGAUACAAGCUUGUCGUUCAGGUGUUCAUUGGAGAACAACGAGGACAAGGAGUCAAGAUGUCCUCAAGGUGUUUUUGGGAUGCUGACACAGACAACUAUGCUGAGGACGUUUUCAUGAAUGACAGCUUGUUCUGUGUGGUGGCAGUUUUCGGAAGCUAUUACUACUGAAGACAAGAGGAUUGAUGGCAGAUGAAAAGAUGUGAGGGCCUCCCUUUCACUCAUCCAGGGCCCCUCUUGGUUGAAGACUAGCUGAAGAGUCAAUUAAAUUGUGGUUGUCAAAGAUGGCUCCAUGUCAAGGCUGUGUCUGCAUUCACAGUCUGCUGCUGGACUCCAUUUGGGGAUGUGUCUGUGCAUUGAUGAGGCCUUAUUUUCAUAAUCUUCAAUCUUCAGUCUUCUUUGGGAAGAGCCGGCUACGUGAUGAUCACUGGCUGUUAUUUACAAGAUGAGUAUUUCAGUGGUAUAUUGCUCAAACAUUUUUAGUGACACCUAAUCCAUCUUGGCAGCUGGUCCAAGGGUUUCACACAUCUGGCACUUCUCAAAUCAUUUAUGUCUUUGGGUUUCAUUUCACACGGUUAAGGGGCAUUUGACAGAAAAUAUCGCUUUGUGAUGUACGAUGUGUAUAUACAGUUUGUAUCUCUAAUGUUUUUAAACUUCUUAUUGUUUACAUCUUUUUUAAAGACCUUUACUUGUUGUACAAUAAUUGAUUGGUUUGAGUCUUGCUCCAGCAAUGAUUUAUCAUUUUCACAUUUUUGCAUAUGGUUAGCAAUUAGACCAAAACAAACAAACAAACAAUCAAAAGUGACUGAUAUUUCAUUGUUUCAUAGUGAUAGUCCAGCAUAUGACCUCCUGCAAAAUAUCAAAUUAAGUGUUUUUUUUCGUUUUGGUUUUUGUAUGGAUUUAACAAACUAGAUAUAUUGUGUUACUUUGUGAGCUUCUGGCCUGAUCCGACACAAAUGCGAGUGUCAGUAUUUGCAGUGUCAGUCUUCUUGUCUUCAUUCUUCAAUAUGAUAAUUAGAAAUGGGCCAUUUGUUUGUUUUUUAUUUCGCUAUAAGGUUUUUUUAUAAGCUAUAAGGAGAGAUAAAUUUAAAGCAUGUAAGAAUAUAUUGACAUUACCACAUAGAAAGACUUCAGUGAUCAAAUGAUAAGCACAGGGCCAUUAAUAUAGAUACAUGGAAUCUCCCUGGAGUCUAGAAAGCUGCUGGUGGUGGAGUAAAGCCAGUAGAUGGAAGACAUAACCUUUUAGUUGAAUCACCUGGAUUAUCUUGAGGGACAGGAUGGUGAUGGGGUGGGUUGUACAACUGUGGGUUUGGACAUCAGAAUGAAAGAAACGCAGUGAUAUUUAAAGAUCAGCAUUUGUUCUUUAAAGACUGCUGAGCUCAGAUAAUCUCAUUGAGGCCAUUGUUCAAGGUGAAUAAAAGAAUAGAUUAGCUUUGAUCUUCAGUACACACAUCAGUACUACUUCAUGUUGAUGUCACAAUCACUGUGAUUUCACAUUCAAGGUACAAAAUUUUGCCUGAGAUGAAGCUAAACCUCUCAGUUAGCCAGAAGGUGCAGUUUGAGGCCUCGAUAAGCUUUUGAGGCAAUCAGAUCAAGCACUCACAUUAUUCAUCUGGCCGGGAGCAGGACAACCACACUCUGUGCCUCCAAGAUGGAUAUUUGUGUCAUGCAAAUGCCCUUCGUGUACUAUCAUUUCUUUUAGAGUGGCAUGUGCAAUAAUACCCUGAAUUAAAUAUUUACAAGAAGAGGAGACAUGCACCACAAGACGUGGACAUUUAAGUGUAGCUUAAGGCAGUGACAUGUGAUUGCUACAACGGGCUGCAGUGCAUGCCAGUUACAAGUUUUGAAGUGCACACACACAUAUAUAUUCACCAAUAGCCUACCUUCCAUUCAUCAAGCCUUUUUGCUAGCUUAUUAUGAUGAUUUAUAGGGUGGGUACCCACAUGGUAGUGAUCAUAAUUUACCCAACUUGUAGCCUAGUAAGCUGACCAUUAUGUAAUACGUGUAACUUGUCUUGAAAUUUGUCACAUGUUUAUAUUAAUCAGAUGAAGGAUGCUACCUCAAGUUUGUUAGCAUCAUUGCUCAUUCUGCAGCCACUGCUUGUUGGGGAUGUUAAUGAGAAGUUUAAACUUAGACUAAUCAACUAGUCUAAAGCUAAAAAAAAAAAAACACUCAGGAAACAGUCAAAAUUGAGCA